rnacentral:rRNA from 5 species
GCCCCGUAAUCGGAAUGAGUACACUUUAAAUCCUUUAACAAGGAUCCAUUGGAGGGCAAGUCUGGUGCCAGCAGCCGCGGUAAUUCCAGCUCCAAUAGCGUAUAUUAAAGUUGUUGCGGUUAAAAAGCUCGUAGUUGGUUCUGCGUGCCGCGCUGUCGGUUCGCCGCCUGUCGGUGUAACUGGCAUGUCGCGGCAUGUCCUGUCGGUGGUGAACGGAGUCCACAAUGCUACAUAGGCUUUACAGCCGAUGUUAGCGUCGUGUGUACUUCCGUUGGCCGAUCUCUCCUACUUCGGUGCUCUUAAACGAGUGUCGAGGUAGGCCGACACGUUCACUUUGAACAAAUUAGAGUGCUUAAAGCAGGCUGAAAUAUCUGCCUGAAUAGUGGUGCAUGGAAUGAUAAAACAGGACCUCGGUUCUAUUUUGUUGGUUUUAGGAAUAUGAGGUAAUGAUCAAUGUGGACUGGCGGGGGCAUUCGUAUUGCGACGUUAGAGGUGAAAUUCUUGGAUCGUCGCAAGACGCACUAGAGCGAAAGCAUUUGCCAAGUAUGUCUUAAUUGAUCAAGAACGAAAGUUAGAGGUUCGAAGGCGAUCAGAUACCGCCCUAGUUCUAACCAUAAACGAUGCCAGCCAGCGAUCCGCCGAUGUUCCUUUAAUGACUCGGCGGGGAGCUUCCACCCGGGAAACCAAAGCUUUUGGGUUCCGGGGGAAGUAUGGUUGCAAAGCUGAAACUUAAAGGA